UACGUAGGGGGGCAAGCGUUGUCCGGAUUUAUUGGGCGUAAAGAGCGUGUAGGCGGCUAGGUAGGUCCGUUGUGAAAACUCGAGGCUCAACCUCGAGACGUCGAUGGAAACCAUCUAGCUAGAGUCCGGAAGAGGAGAGUGGAAUUCCUGGUGUAGCGGUGAAAUGCGCAGAUAUCAGGAGGAACACCAAUAGCGAAGGCAGCUCGCUGGGACGGUAUUGACGCUAAGGCGCGAAAGCGUGGGGAGCAAACAGG
rnacentral:rRNA from 1 species